GGCGCGCCUAACACAUGCAAGUCGAACGGACAAAAUUACUUCGGAAUUUGUUAGUGGCGGACGGGUGGAGUAACACGUGAGCAACCUGCCUUACAGAGGGGGAGUAACGUUUGGAAACGAACGCUAAUACCGCAUGAAAUAACAGAGUCGCAUGGAACUGUUAUCAAAGAUUUAUCGCUGUAAGAUGGGCUCGCGCCUGAUUAGAUAGUUGGUGAGGUAAUGGCUCACCCAAGUCGACGAUCAGUAGCCGGACUGAGAGGUUGAACGGCCACAUUGGGACUGAGACACGGCCCAGACUCCUACGGGAGGCAGCAGUGGGGGAUAUUGCACAAUGGGGGAAACCCUGAAUGCAGCGACGCCGCGUGAGGGAAGAAGGUUUUCGGAUUGUAAACCUCUGUCUUGUGGGACGAUAAUGACGGUACCACAGGAGGAAGCCACGGCUAACUACGUGCCAGCCGCCGC
rnacentral:rRNA from 1 species